rnacentral:lncRNA from 1 species
UCUAUGACCAAGAUGAACGACGUAACACUCAGCCAGCCCCUCAACUUCCAGAACGUGCACCAGAGCCCAAGCAAAAACGCACACGUGAGCUGUGCGCACCUGCUUUAAACAGAAGGCAGAAAACAAUGAGCCAGCCAUCAUCGUGCAGGAAGCCGACGCCAAAUGGGCUGCUGCUGAAUCGGUCAGGCAUGCACCAGCUAGGACCAAGAAAAUGGAGCAGUGUGCCUCUUCUCAGGAGUGACUGAGGGGCUGCCACAAGGGGAGAAGGCA